GUUUGCACUUGUCGGGGAAGGGUGAGAACCUUCGAUUAAGGUUCGACUUGAGCGAAAGCGAGAGAACGUUGCCAACGGCAACGGCCCGUAGGGUGAGGAGCGA
rnacentral:sRNA from 2 species